AGCCUUUAGCCAAACAAGUAUUAAAGGUACUGCCUGCCCAGUGACUAUUUAAACGGCCGCGGUAUCCUAACCGUGCAAAGGUAGCAUAAUCAUUUGCCUCCUAAUUAGAGGCCAGCAUGAACGGCUAAAUGAGGACAUAACUGUCUCCUAGAGCAAGUCAAUGAACCUGAUCUUCCAGUCCAAAAGCUGGAAUAAAACCAUAAGACAAGAAGACCCUGUGGAGCUUAAAAUACUAAUGCUACUACCACAAAACCACCCCACCAAUGGCCCAAAAACGUAAACUAGCACCCAUUUUUAGUUGGGGCGACUAUGGAGUAAAACAAAACCUCCACGACAAGGAUAGCCUCCCACAAAGGCCUACAAGCCAAAAACACCAUGACCCAGUAAUACUGAUCAACGAACCAAGUUACCCCAGGGAUAACAGCGCCAUCCUCUUUAAGAGCCCCUAUCGCCAAGAGGGUUUACGACCUCGAUGUUGGAUCAGGACCCCCUAGUGGCGCAGCCGCUACUAAAGGUUCGUUUGUUCAACGACUAACGUCCU
rnacentral:rRNA from 1 species